rnacentral:sRNA from 2 species
AUAUGAAAUCCGCUUAAUUUCCGUUACGGAAAGCGGGGGAACCAACAACCGGAGGACGCGGGUAAGCAGGCGGUGCCGGUUAUGGGGUGAAUCCUUGAGUCUGUGAGAAGCUUAAGCUUCUCACAGAGGGAAGGUAGGGCGACUCUCAACGCCCGAAUCCGGCAGCUAACCUCGUAAGCGUAUUGCAGAGAGGAUCA